rnacentral:rRNA from 1 species
GACGAACGCUGGCGGCGUGCCUAAUACAUGCAAGUAGGACGCAGUUGCGAACGGGUGAUUAACGCAUAGGUCACUACCUAUUAGUGGGGGAUAACUAUUGGAAACGAUAGCUAAUACCGCAUCCUAGUAGAUGUCACUGCGUGGUAUUAGCUAGUAGGUAGGGUAAUGGCAUACCUAGGAAACGUGACAUAGCCGACGGGAGAGGUUGAUCGGCCACAAUGGGACUGGGACAAGGCGAAGACUCCGACGGGAUGCAGCAGUAGGGAAACGUUGGCAAUGGGGGGAACCCUGACCGAGCAACGCAGCGUGAGUGAAUAAGGUUUUCUGAUCGGAAAGCUCUGUUGUUAAGGAAGCGUUACUUAACCAGAAAGGGACGGCUAACUACGUGCCAGCAGCCGGGGUAAUUC